AUGAUCAUUUUGGUCAAGAGGAUGAAUUAUAUGAAAACUAUAUCCGCAUGGGUUCUAAGGAUGUUGUUCUACACAUUCGACCUAUCUGAUCGUCGGGUACCAUUGCUAGAUGGUCACUUCGAUUGGUAUAAAAAUUUAUUUCUGUGCUACCAGCUUAGGUUCAAACCUAUGAGAUCACACACAUUAGAGUUUACGAUCCGAUUGGAUGGUUGAUCAACGAUUAAGAAUCGUUCUAGGGUUAAAUGAUCAAUAUGAUUGACAUUUAACCCAGUGCAAGUGUUGCAGGAGGAUCGAUUAGCAAUUCGAUUGCUAAU
rnacentral:lncRNA from 1 species